rnacentral:rRNA from 1 species
AGUAGCGCAAGGGUGCGUAACACGUGGGUAAUUUGCCGUGAAGUUGGGGAUAACUCGCUGAAAGGCGAGCUAAUACCGGAUGUGGUUUUUGGAAGGCAUCUUCUGACAACUAAAGCUGGGGAUCGCAAGACCUGGCGCUUCAUGAUAAGCCCGCGGCCUAUCAGCUAGUUGGUGAGGUAACGGCUCACCAAGGCUAAGACGGGUAGCUGGUCUGAGAGGACGACCAGCCACACUGGAACUGAGACACGGUCCAGACACCUACGGGUGGCAGCAGUCGAGAAUUUUUCUCAAUGGGCGCAAGCCUGAAGGAGCGACGCCGCGUGGGGGAUGAAGGGUUUCGAUCCGUAAACCCCUGUCAUUUGUGAACAAUGGUUAUUAUUUAAAAGAUGAUGACUUGAUAGUAAUGAAAGAGGAAGGGACGGCUAACUCUGUGCCAGCAGCCGCGGUAAUACAGAGGUCCCGAGCGUUGUUCGGAUUCACUGGGCGUAAAGGGUGCGUAGGUGGCGUGGUAAGUUUGAUGUGAAAGCUCAGGGCUUAACCCUGAAAUGGCAUUGAAUACUACCAGGCUGGAGGUUUGGAGGGGGGACUGGAAUUCUUGGUGUAGCAGUGAAAUGCGUAGAUAUCAAGAGGAACACCAGUGGCGAAGGCGAGUCCCUGGACAACACCUGACACUGAGGCACGAAAGCUAGGGGAGCAACAGGAUUAGAUACCCUGGUAGUCCUAGCCCU